UACAGAGGGUGCAAGCGUUGUUCGGAAUUAUUGGGCGUAAAGCGCGUGUAGGCGGCUUUGCAAGUCGGAUGUGAAAGCCCUCGGCUCAACCGAGGAAGUGCACCCGAAACUGACGGGCUUGAGUAUGGAAGAGGGUCGCGGAAUUCCCGGUGUAGAGGUGAAAUUCGUAGAUAUCGAGAGGAACAUCGGUGGCGAAGGCGGCCUUCUGGACGGUGACUGACGCUGAGACGCGAAAGCGUGGGGAGCAAACAGG
rnacentral:rRNA from 1 species